AGAGUUUGAUCAUGGCUCAGGACGAACGCUGGCGGCGUGCCUAAUACAUGCAAGUCGAACGAGGUUCAACUGGUGGCAACACCGGUGAAGACCUAGUGGCGAACGGGUGAGUAGCACGUGAGCAACCUGCCCCGAAGACCGGGAUAACACCGGGAAACCGGUGCUAAUACCGGAUAUCCCCAUCGAACCGCAUGGUUUGACGAGGAAAUGGAUUCCGCUUCGGGAGGGGCUCGCGGCCUAUCAGCUUGUUGGUGAGGUAACGGCUCACCAAGGCGACGACGGGUAGCUGGUCUGAGAGGACGAUCAGCCACACUGGGACUGAGACACGGCCCAGACUCCUACGGGAGGCAGCAGUAGGGAAUCUUGCGCAAUGGGCGAAAGCCUGACGCAGCAACGCCGCGUGGAGGACGAAGGCUUUCUGAGUUGUAAACUCCUUUCAGCAGGGACGAUUGUGACGGUACCUGCAGAAGAAGCACCGGCCAACUACGUGCCAGCGGCCGCGGUGAUACGUAGGGUGCAAGCGUUGUCCGGAUUUAUUGGGCGUAAAGAGCUCGUAGGCGGUUCGAUAAGUCGGGUGUGAAAUCUCCAGGCUCAACCUGGAGUCGCCACUCGAUACUGUCGUGACUAGAGUCCGGUAGGGGACCAUGGAAUUCCUGGUGUAGCGGUGAAAUGCGCAGAUAUCAGGAGGAACACCGGUAGCGAAGGCGGUGGUCUGGGCCGGCACUGACGCUGAGGAGCGAAAGCGUGGGGAGCGAACAGGAUUAGAUACCCCCGUAGUCC
rnacentral:rRNA from 1 species